rnacentral:rRNA from 1 species
GAGCACGUAGGUGGGUUUGUAAGUCAGAUGUGAAAGCCUUCUGUUCAACGGAAGAAUUGCAUCUGAAACUGCGAGUCUUGAGUGUAGGAGGGGAGAAUGGAACUUCUGGUGGAGCGGUGAAAUGCGUAGAUAUCAGAAGGAACGCUGGCGGCGAAGCGAUUCUCUGGCCUAUUACUGACACUCAGUGUGCGAAAGCUAGGGGAGCAAACGGGAUUAGAUACCCCGGUAGUCCUACCCGUAAACGAUGGGCACUAAGUAGAGGGGUUUU